rnacentral:rRNA from 1 species
UACAGAGGCCUCAAGCAUUAUCCGGAAUCACUGGGCGUAAAGGGUGUGUAGGCGGUCGCGUUAGUCUUUUGUGAAAGGUCUUGGGCUUAACCCAGGAGCCGCAAGAGAAACGGCGCGACUUAGAGGGUGCGAGAGGUAAAGGGAACUCAUGGUGUAGGGGUGAAAUCCGUUGAUAUCAUGGGGAACACCAAAUGCGAAGGCACUUUACUGGCGCAUUCCUGACGCUGAGACACGAAAGCGUGGGUAGCGAACGGG